rnacentral:rRNA from 1 species
CAUUGGAUGAGCCCGCGCCGGAUUAGCUUGUUGGUGAGGUAAAAGCUCACCAAGGCGAUGACGGGUAGCUGACGUGAGAGCGUGACCAGCCACACUGGGACUGAGACACGGCCCAGACUCCUACGGGAGGCAGCAGUGGGGAAUAUUGCGCAAUGGGCGAAAGCCUGACGCAGCGACGCCGCGUGGGGGAGGAAGGCCCUAGGGUUGUAAACCCCUGUCAGGUGGGACGAACCCUGGGUCGACGAAUAGUUGGCUCAGCUGACGGUACCAUCAGAGGAAGCUCCGGCUAACUCCGUGCCAGCAGCCGCGGUAACACGGGGGGAGCAAGCGUUGUUCGGAAUCACUGGGCGUAAAGCGCGCGUAGGCGGCCGAGUAAGUCGUAUGUGAAAGACCGGGGCUCAACUCCGGUAUUGCAUGCGAUACUGCCCGGCUGGAGAAAGGUAGAGGCAAGUGGAAU